rnacentral:rRNA from 1 species
UACGUAGGGUGCAAGCGUUAAUCGGAAUUACUGGGCGUAAAGCGUGCGCAGGCGGUUGUGCAAGACAGGUGUGAAAUCCCCCGGGCUUAACCUGGGAACUGCAUUUGUGACUGCACGGCUAGAGUGUGUCAGAGGGGGGGGUAGAAUUCCACGUGUAGCAGUGAAAAUGCGUAGAGAUGUGGAGGAACACCGAUGGCGAAGGCAGCCUUCUGGGCCAACACUGACGCUCAUGCACGAAAGCGUGGGGAGCAAACAGG